CUCAACUGCUGUUCUCAACUGCAAUCUUUCACGAUCACUGUUCACGUCUUUCCGAUGCUUCCCAGGCAGAGGUUCACAGUGUGAAAAACGACUGCAUUCAGCACAGCGAAGACUCAGCAUUAGUAAUUACAGUGUGAAGUAUAUUGGCGAAAACAAAAUGUACGAUUAAAACAUGGGUUUUUUGCAUGGGCUUCGUGCUGUAGCUGUGUUGACGGGUAAUACUAGUUUCAUAUUAUUCAUUUUAUAAAUACUCAUUUUUCAUAUCUUCAAUUUGAUAUACAAUUGACCAAAUAUUAGCCAACUGAGCCAAGACAAGUUAUGAAGGUAUAAAUAUGUCGAUUUUAUUUCAACAUCAUACAUGGACUGUUAGAAAAGCCCUGACGGGCUUGUUAGUCUUCCUUCCAUAUGAAUUGACUGUAACUGUAUAAUGAAAAAAUAAAUAUCUAUAUCAAAUGGUUCUUAUCGGUUUCAUUUUGUAUUUGUUUAUUUUGUUAAAGCUUCUGGCUGAUUCACACUCGGAUACAACACGAAAUCGCCUGGUCAAGCACUACAACAAUGAGGUAUAAAUUCUUAAGUGAAAUAAUAUAAAAUAACAUUUAUAAAUUUUAUUUGGUUUGGCAGCUGAAAAGUUUAUUGUCUAAAACUGGCGGAAAGAUACUGGUAGUUUUUCAAUUUUGUUGGAAUUAUCGAAGACCCGACACAAACGAAGAAG